rnacentral:tRNA from 1 species
UGAUAGCUGAGUUGGUAAAGAAUCUGCCUGCAAUGCAGAAGACCCUGGUUUGAUCCCUGGGUCA